GCUGGUCUUGAACUCCUGACCUCAGGUGAUCCACCUGUCUUGGCUUCCCAAAGAGGUAGGAUUACAGGCAUAAGCCGCCACACCUGGCCACACUUCAUUUUCUUAACUAACAAAGGUAAAGUUUAGGCAUGCUCUUAUACCCCAAAAUACCUCCAAAUGUAAGAUAAUAUCAUCUGCAAACAAGGAAAUUUGACUUCUUCCUUUCCAAUUUGGAUGCCUUUAUAUCUUCCUCUUGUCUGAAUGCUCUAGGUAGGACUUCAUACUGUGUUGAGUAACAGUGGACAUCCUUGUUUUGUUGUAGCUAUUGGAGGAAAGC